rnacentral:rRNA from 1 species
CCGUUCGAAACUACCUGACUUGAGGGCAGUAGAGGGAGGUGGAAUUCCGGGUGUAGCGGUGAAAUGCGUAGAUAUCCGGAGGAACACCAGUGGCGAAGGCGGCCUCCUGGGCUGACCCUGACGCUCAGACGCGAAAGCUAGGGUAGCAAACGGGAUUAGACACCCCGGUAGUCCUAGCUGUAAACGAUGCAGACUUGGUGUUGGCAGUUUAAACACUGACAGUGCCGUAGCUAACGCGAUAAGUCUGCCGCCUGGGGACUACGACCGCAAGGUUAAAACUCAAAGGAAUUGACGGGGGUCCGCACAAGCAGCGGAGCGUGUGGUUUAAUUCGAGGCUACGCGAAGAACCUUACCUGGGUUUGACAUGUACAUAGUAGGAAUCCGAAAGGUGACCGACCCCUCGGGGAGCGUACACAGGUGCUGCAUGGCUGUCGUCAGCUCGUGCCGUGAGGUGUCCGGUUAAGUCCGGUAACGAGCGCAACCCUUACUCUGUGUUAUAUGUGUCACAGAGGACUGCCGGUAUAAAGCCGGAGGAAGGUGGGGAUGACGUCAAGUCAGCAUGGCCUUUAUAUCCAGGGCUACACACACGCUACAAUGGCCGGUACAAUGGGUCGCGAAGCCGCGAGGCGGAGCCAAUCCUCCAAAGCCGGUCUCAGUUCGGAUUGCAGGCUGCAACCCGCCUGCAUGAAGUCGGAGUUGCUAGUAACCGCAGGACAGCUAUACUGCGGUGAAUACGUUCCCGGGCCUUGUACACACCGCCCGUCACGUCAUGGGAGCUGGCAACACCUGAAGUCGAUGACCUAACCGCAAGGAAGGAAUCGCCCAAGGUGGGGCUGGUGACUGGGACGAAGUCGUAACAAGGUAACC